rnacentral:rRNA from 1 species
CCCUUAGAUGUUCUGGGCCGCACGUGCGCUACACUGAUGCAUUCAACGAGUUUCUUCCUGGUCCGAGAGGAAUGGGUAACCUUUUGAAAGUGCAUCGUGAUAGGGAUAGACUAUUGCAAUUAUUGGUCUUCGACGAGGAAUUCCUAGUAGACGUAGUUCAUCAGACUGCAUCGAUUACGUCCCUGCCCUUUGUACACACCGCCCGUCGCUCCUACCGAUUGAAUGCUCAGGUGAGCCAUUCGGACUUUCAUCAUGCUGGUUUCCAGUUUUGAUGAAGGAAAGUCUUGCGAACCUUAUCAUUUAGAGGAAGGAGAAGUCGUAACA